CUGCAUGGCUGUCGUCAGCUCGUGUCGUGAGAUGUGGUUAAGUCCGCAACGAGCGCAACCCUUGCCAUCAGUUGCUACGAAAGGGCACUCUGAUGGGACUGCCGGUGACAAACCGGAGGAAGGUGGGGAUGACGUCAAGUCCUCAUGGCCCUUAUAGGUGGGGCUACACACGUCAUACAAUGGCCGGUACAAAGGGCAGCAAACCCGCGAGGGGGAGCCAAUCCAUCAAAGCCGGUCGUAGUCCGGAUCGCAGUCUGCAACUCGACUGCGUGAAGUCGGAAUCGCUAGUAAUCGUGGAUCAGCAUGUCACGGUGAAUACGUUCCCGGGUCUU
rnacentral:rRNA from 1 species